rnacentral:rRNA from 1 species
AUUGAACGCUGGCGGCAUGCUUUACACAUGCAAGUCGAACGGUAACAGGCCGCAAGGUGCUGACGAGUGGCGAACGGGUGAGUAAUGCAUCGGAACGUGCCCAGUCGUGGGGGAUAACUGCUCGAAAGAGCAGCUAAUACCGCAUACGAUCUCUGGAUGAAAGCGGGGGACCGUAAGGCCUCGCGCGAUUGGAGCGGCCGAUGUCAGAUUAGGUAGUUGGUGGGGUAAAGGCUCACCAAGCCAACGAUCUGUAGCUGGUCUGGGAGGACGACCAGCCACACUGGGACUGAGACACGGCCCAGACUCCUACGGGAGGCAGCAGUGGGGAAUUUUGGACAAUGGGGGCAACCCUGAUCCAGCAAUGCCGCGUGCAGGAAGAAGGCCUUCGGGUUGUAAACUGCUUUUGUACGGAACGAAACGGUCUGGGUUAAUACCCUGGGCUAAUGACGGUACCGUAAGAAUAAGCACCGGCUAACUACGUGCCAGCCGCCGCAGUAACAC